rnacentral:hammerhead_ribozyme from 1 species
AUUCAGUUGAUGAGUCCUAAAUAGGACGAAACACGUGUUUUCGAU